ACUGUAAGUUCUCCUCCAUGGUUUCACUACAUGGAGUCCACAGGUCAUCCUGGACGUGGUGUCCCAGAGAAGUCAUAGAAGAUCAGACCUCGGGUGAAUACACUCAAAUCAGGCUGCAAAUACAUGUGAGUUGGAGGAAGAAGUGAAUCAAACAGUUGGAAGAAGUGACAAAUGAGAGCCUAUUUUAGAAGGGCAAAAAUGAGGACAGCAGGAAGGAACAAAAUAUUUCAUCAAAGGCAAUACUAACGUGGUUACAGCAAUGCUGGAGGACUCUUCAAUAGUUAAAGGGCAGACCUCUGCACGGGCACCACCCUGCUUACCUGAUAGACCCACUCUGAGUUCUAAUAGCCAAUCUGAAAUGAGCAUAUCGGAAACUGUGCUUCCUGUCACCCCAGUUUGCUCUGCCUACAGUUUCUUCCCAGGAGAGGAAACAGAUACAUGGCGACUUGGCGAUCUGACCAAGAAGUCCACAGUUCAUACAUUGCUGACUCACUGGGUUUAGAAAUGUUUCUCCAGUCUUAGGUUCUCCUGCCCAUAUCCUUGAUGACAUAAGUCAGACUUUUACCACUUCCUGCUUGGACUUUGUCAGUGACUAGCUUCCACACCUGUCUUUUUCUGGUUUUCUCUACCAUCCUCUACAUUUUUCACACUGUCUCCUUUUGACAUGUUUUUAAAAUAUACAUUCAGUUUCCUUCCUCCUUCCUCCCUUCCUUCCUUCCAUAGAUUAAAGUUCUAUGAUUCAGUAGAUUAAUAUUCAAACUUUAUAGUCAAAACUUUAGACAGCUGAACUAAGACUAGGUAGUCUGCAAAUUAGGCAGAUCUGAGUUCAAGUCACUGAUGAUCCAGUUACUAGUUAUACAAUCACCCCCAAGUUAUUUUACUUCUCUGAUUCCUAGUCUCUCAUUUGGAAAAUGGGGAAAACAGCAUUUAAGACUUAAUUUUUCUUUCACAUAAUAGACACUCAGUAAAUGAUAUUUAUUAUCAUUAUCUACAGUAAAAAACCCCAAAAUAUAUUUAGAAGAUCACAUACACAAAAUUCUAAAAGAGAUCCCAAAUAUGUAAAAUGAAAUAAAACAAAGUAAGAAAGUGUCUGGGGUCACGCAAUGGCAUAGAAUUUCAGUUGGUGGCCAAACUGAUGUAAUUUUGCGCGAAGAGUGAAUUUAAUUAUAAAUGGACUAUAUAACCAGCCUUUGCUUUUACCAUAAAUAACUCAACAACAAAGAAUUAGCAAUAAUAAGUUCUAAUACAUUCUGAUGUGUAUGGAUCAGGACAGGUUUGUAAUGGGUACGCCAGUAAUGAAUAGAAAUGUCCUAUAUCCUACUCCUCACUUGAAAUAUUAAGAAGAAUUACUGUCUGAAUUUAUAGCUCUCUAAGAAUACACUUUCCUACUAAUGAGUGUUCUCAUAUAGAUUUUACACAUGCUUAUGUUAAAUAUAGGCUAACUGACAGAAUAUUUUGAAAUGCUCAGAGUGAUUAAUCAAGGCUGCUUCAUUUAGUGAUGAGAGAUAUUCAGUGAGACUUCAAGAUUUCAACUUUAGUUAAAUUAAGUUCAUAAGCAUAAAAACUCAUUUGAAUUCAGGAAAAUAUUUUGGGCCUUUGGAAGCUAAAUGGCAGUACUCUGAAACACAAACCUAGCAUCUGUGACCCUAAGCUGAUGUCCAGGUAACUUCACACUGACUAGCAGUGUUGGCUGAGAAGUAAACACAGUGUUCUGCUUGUCUGGACUUAAAUAAACUCAUGUGAAGUAACAUCGUAA